rnacentral:lncRNA from 1 species
ACUGAUAUUGAUAUUGCUAAUGUUAGUUUGAUAUAAGACAUCAUGCUACAAUGUUUAAAGAUAUAACUGGUUAGAGAAAAGUACACGGGAAGAAGUGUUGUGAUGUUGCAUUGCAUCUAAUGGCAUUUUCCCGUUAGAAUGUCUAGCAUAUCAUUUUCCAUUUCCUUUCAUAAGAGACUUGAUUUAAUCAGAUUUGCUCACUUCUAAAAAUAAAGCACAUAAUGUAACCCUCACGAGUUGUUUCAUAUUGCAUUAUACUGGUCGAAGGUGAGAAUCAAUGCUUCUUAUAUUCUGUGACUAAAAGUAUUGCCACAUAUGGAAACUCGUACGCUCUUCUGGAUCCUUGGCCUAAACACAAACCGUUGCUACGUUUUCCUAUAAUAUUAAUGUUUUGAUUUGAUAGUUCAACAUAUGUAACAAAACUACAUGGUUAAUUAGGUGCAAUAAUUUUUUUUCCCCCAUGUUUUUGUCCCAAAAACACUUUUCGGAUCAUUACCGUUUUCUGAUAUCUUGUAGGGCAUAUUUUAGAUAUGGGUUCAAUCAAAAGCUGUCCUUUUGAAUGCAACAAGACGGACCCGUCAUACUCAUUCGCGUUGGCAUCUGUUAAGUGGAGUCUACGGUAUGUGAAUCACAACUCUUUGAGUUCAUUGAUAACGAUAUAUACAUAUAUAUUGGAGAGAGAUUUUUUUAUUCCUUUGGUUUGCCAAAAAAGACACCAUAAAAGUAGAAAGCUUGAGAAACUUUGCUUUGCUUUAGCUUCUUGAUUAUGUUCUUUACUCGAAACUACAAAGUUAAGAGAAUAGUCACGUCAGGGGCAGAUGAAAAAGCUCUAUCACAAACUCUACAUUUGUGUUCUAUGAUGGACCACUCCACUCUCUUUGUUUCUCUCUCUACACCAUUUUGUCUUGUACAUUGUCUUCACUUACCCAUACGCACCAAAUCAUCAUCUGAGCUUAUUUCCAUCUUGAGCUAUAUUAUUCUUUGUUAAAAUCUUGAGUUUUUUUUUACCAUUGUAUGGAGAUGAGUCAACUAAAAAAUUUCUAUUCAUCAAGAUGUGUUUUUAUGAUCCUAUUUUGAAAAUUUCUAUUUGAGUCGCUGAGUGAUAUUAAUUGAAUAUUCAUUACUAUGUCCGACUGACCAUUUGUCUGGAAAUUUGUCUGAAUUUUGUCCGAAACAAUUAUGUUAAUUGGAAGCUGAAUCUUCAAAGACAUAUAAUAGCAUGUGGACACGUGAAAUGAUAAAAUUCGUUUCUAUCAUUUACGCACGCUUGGAAAAAAAAACAUAUAAUUGAGUUCUUAUUAUAUAUGAGUGAUGAGCAUCAGAAACAUCAUCAAAUGUUAACGAAAUAAAUUACGUUAACGUACGUAAGAUCCACACAUCGUACAUUUUCUCAUUCACAUACCUACCAGUUUUUCUUUCUCUAAAAGUUCAUAACAUUCUUAAAUUUUACUAAAUGAACUGGUUAAAACAUGUGUGGAAUAGAUAUUAUAGUUUUUUUUUCUGUGACGUUAAAGAUUAAGAUCAAGACUCACAUGAUCUUGCACAUUAGGACUCAAACCGUACCGGUAUGAAGACAUGCGGUUCUGAGCUGCGGAGCCACCCACUUGUAACGGUGGAUGCGGCUGAGAACCAGCCAAGGAUGAUAAAAUUGAGUUAUCAGAAGAGACAUGACUAGUAAACGCAGCGUUUGGGUUAUAAACGCCUCUAAAGCUGGAAGAUGAACGCCAUAGUCCUAAUGGACUCCCAUUGAUCGGCCGUGUGUGAAACGAGGACGACGGUCCUGAACCUGGAAUGUUUCCUCCAUAGAACCUAGCGGCCGGUAAAGAUGUGCUGCUCCACGACGGGUAGUGACGGUAACCAUAUAGAUUAGCGUCGGGAUGGUGGAAAUAAGAGGACGCACCGCGUUUGGCGAGCUGGCGUUCUCUUUUGUGAGCGUUUUGGUGUCCACCUAGGGCUUGUGAAGUAGGGAAGUUUCUAAAACAAUAGUGACACUCGAAUCUCCUGUUGUUGUUGCUUCUGCUAUUGUCUUUACCGUUAUCUCCGGUUUGGUCGUCUUCUGCUACUUCUUCAUCUUCUUUGUGUUUGGUCUCGGAGUGGUCUUGUUGACUGGUGGUACCGGAGUAUUCUCCAGUGGUGAAAUCUUUGCCGAAGAGACGAACGGGUUUAGGGUUCUUGUCUUUGGAGGGAGGACGACGGAAGAAAGGAAGUUGAGAGAAAGAUUCAACGUUCAUGAAAUCUUUAGUUUCUCUUUCUGCAUUUCUUUCGUCCAUUGAGCGAGAGAUAGAUAGGAGCGAUACUUGAAUAUUGGAGUUGUGAGACUGUGACUGUUCCAGAGAGAAAGACAACGUUUAUAUAGAACUGACUGUUUCCCAUUUUCUUGUUGUAUUAUUUCGUUUGACAGAAGGUUGAUAACAUCUAAUUAUUUUCUAAAAGGUUGAUAGUUUUUUUUAAAACAUCUGGGACGAAAGUAAUCUCAAAGAGAACUUAUCAACGCUUACUCUAGUCUAAUUUUUUUAAUGAAGUUUAAAAUAUGAUUCUAUUAACUAAACAAUAUCAACUAAGCUUCUGACCAAAUUUGAAUAAAAAAUCGAUGGGUUUAUUUAUAUCUUGCCUCUCAAGUUCUUCUUCUUACCACUAUACUACCGCUGCUGAUUGAUGGUUUAACCAUUUUAUUUUAAGAGUGGUGAACAUAUAUGUUACUGUUAGUUAGUAAGGCCAAAAACUUAGUUGAGUUUCUUCAUUUAAUGUUUUACUAGAUUUUGACCCGCGCUUUUUGAAGCGCGAGUUUUUUCCGAUUAAGAAUAUUGUUUGAUUUGAAUUAUUAUUUUGUUUUUGAUGGUUUGAAGUAUAUUAUUAAGUUAUAAAGUGUUAUUAUAUCGAAAAAGUAAAAGAAUUUUAGUUUAAAAUUAUAUAAUUUAUCAAAUAGUUUAUUUUAGAUUUUAUAUGUGUAUUCUUAUAUUACAACGUCAUCGUUGCAUUUUGUGUGUAUUUUUAAGAGUUAUAUUUGUUGAGUUGAUGAGACAAAAAAUUUACUUGGCAGAUUUUGGGCUAAUCUAAUAGUAUAUAUAUUAUAGAAUUUUUAAUAGUUUUAGCAGUAUUUUCAUACCCGAACCAAACCUAAAGUCUCAGAAGUAAAUCAGGUGAUUCAUAUAAAUUUGGUCUGAAUUUUGUUAAAACUUUAUAUAUAAAAAUCUGAUAAAAGUCGGUAAAAACGUAAAAAGUAUCAUUAACCUGCUAUCCAAUAUUGGUUGACCCGAUAAAAUCCCAUAUAAAUUGGAUGAUAUUUUUUCAAAACUCAAUUCAAACUUUUGAAUCAAGCUUUGAAGCACGGGGUUAAUACUUUUUCAAAAGAGAAAAAUCUUGUUUAACUUAGGUAUUCCAAACCUAGUGAAGAGUUUAUACAAAUCUCAAUGUGUUUAGUGUAUAAUAUAUGAUUGAAUAACCCGCAGAAACCUGCAAGCUUGAAACUCAAAUAAUAUAAAUAUUAAUUCUGGACCUUAUUAUAUUUGUAAAUUUAUUUUGUUAUUUAAAUUGAAUUACAGAAGUGGACUUGUAUUUGAGCAUCUUUUAUACUAAACAUUAUUUGUUGCCCAAAAAAAAAAUACUUAUCAUUAUUUUGGAUUUUAGUAAUUGUGCUUCAUAAGUCAAAAUCAAAACUUAUUUUUUUAUAAAAAAAAAGAGAGAAUAUGGAGCAAUAUUUUCAAAAUUAUUUGUAUUUUCUAAUUUUCCAUAAUAUAGUUUAAGUGGUUGUAUCUGAAUUAUAGUAAAACUGAAUUUUUAAUAUAGUAUUAUUUUCUGUAUCAUCAUUUUUCAAUAAUUUCUGAGUAAUAGUAUUUAAAAAUAUAAUUAAUUUUUAAGUUUGUAAUUUAUCAUCAUUAACUACUAAAAAUAUCUUAAAAUAAAACUGUAUUUUAAACAAUUAAAAAUAUUUAUCUUUCUGGAACAAAAAGAAUAUAUUACUAACACUUUGGAUCACAUUAUUACUGGGAACAACAAUAAGAUAUCAUGAUCGAGAAUUAAGGAAAUAGACACAACAUUUAUGGAGAAAACAAAAUAGGGAAAAUUGUUUUUUUAGAGCAAAAAAAUAUAAACAUUGUCCUAAUAGAAUAAUCCCAACCUAUAAUUGUCUCAUUAAGCUAAUAAUUUUGAAAAUCCCAGUUUAGUCCUUCGAAAUACAAUUUUAAAACUAACUGUAAUACAUUAAAUUAAUAUAUAAUAUACAGAACCAAUUAAAAAAAAUUUAAAAAAAAAAUUCCCAAAUCAAAACCCCUAACCCUAAUUAUUUCAGUCUCGUUCUCUAGGCCUCUCUAAUUCUGGUGGGGACAAAGUCAACAGGUCUCUAUUGGUGGGGAGACAAAGAUACCGACUCAAAUCUCGUCUUCUCCGGCGUAAAUCUCUUCUUCUCCGGCUUAAUAUCUUCUUCUCCGGCUUAAUCUCUUAUUCUCUCAUGUAAAACGAAGGUAACAUCGACACUUCUCAUUCCUAUUUUGUUUUAAAUCUUCUUUGCAUGUUCUUUAAUCGAUAAUAGUUCUGUGAAAAGCAAAUAGAUUAGUGCUUCUGUAUAUUUUUUUGUGUUCUUAUCAAUCGAUUUAAGAACACACGAGUUUGUUAUAUGUGUUUGUGUUUCUGUUGUUAUCAAUUUGUGAUUACCAUAAGAACCUACAGUUAAUCUAUGUUACAUGUGUAUGUAAUCUUAUCAAUUUGCUUUACCAUACGGGUUUGUCAAUCGAUAUUUUUAAGAGAUUGGUUAGUUUUGAUUUUGUGUCAUUGUUGUUGAUGUUGGUAUCGCCAGCGCAGACACUAGAAGAUAUGUAAUUUGGCACUAAUCCUGGUACUAUCGGGUUAAUGGGUCAGUUCACCAAACCGUUGGAUCAUCUGAGUUUGUACUUAUGAAGGAGAUUGGAUGCUCGUUGGUGAUGUUCCAUGGAGGUAAAAGAACUAAAAACCAUCUCUUAAUGUCUGAUGAAUGAUUUACAAUGAUCUAAUCUGGGUUUUGUAUAUAUCUUAGAAUGCUCAUCACCUCGGUGAAAAGGCUUCGUGUGAUGAAAACGUCUGAAGCUAAUAGUCUCGGUACGUAGACUAUCUUGUCUUGACUUAUGACAUUGUUUGUUGAAACAUAUAAUGAAAAACUUGAACUAAAACAUCUUAGUAUAUAAUAUGCAGGAUACUUGUGAAGCAAGUAAAAGGAAGAAACAGAAGCUAGGUUGAUCUUAUUCAGUUUGUGAUGUUUCAUUGGUUCUUCUAAUGUUCUUUAAGGGUUUUUUUUUGGCUUGAUGUCUUUUGUUUUACUGUUGCUAUUACUAUGGAAGAGAAUGCUCUUUAUUUGUUUUACUACACUGUAAAUAUUUGAAGCUUGUCUAAUAUCAUUUUGUGGGUUUAGUUUAUGAGUUCACUAACUGAUCCAAGAAACAGAUCCACAUGACAUCAAAUGUGUUAACAUAUUUACUUUAGUGCUUGACGUUUCAAUCUCAUGGGAUUCUGAGGACAUUCGAAAUUAAUGAUAUAGGCCCCGAACACUAAAUCAUAUUAUACAUAUAUCAUCCUGAGCACGAAGAAGAAUCUGAUGGAAGAUUCAUACAAACAGACAAGAGUUAGGUAGAUAGAUUGUACCAACCAUAUGAAAAAGCUCCUAACUUUGUGAAAAAUCAAAGGAAAAUUUAGGUAUUUUGAGAAGAAAGGCCAAUAAGUGUUUUUUUUUCAAAAAGAAAGGCUAGUAAGUGAUCUUUUAUUAACAAAUUCGAUUUUUCAAAAAUGGUAACAUAAUAUUUCCACAUAUAUUUGUUUUUUUUGUUUAAAAAAAAAUCGGUUUUCAAAAUAGGAAACUGAAUAUUUCCAAAUAUUUUUUUUCCUUAUUUUUCGAAACAGAUUAUUCUUAUCCGUAGAAUACAGUUAAUCUGUAGAAAUUGAUUUUCUACAUAUUUUUUAGAAUUUUUGUAAUGUGUAGAUUUUGAUUUCUACAUGUUUUAGAUUUACAGUAAAUCUGUAGAAGUCAGUUUAUACUUGUUUUAGAUUUAUAGUAAAUAUGUAGAAGUUGGUUUCUACAUGUUUUAGAUCGGUAGGUUAAGCGCGGAAUGUGUAUUCUAAAUAUUUUUAGAAUACUCUUAUUUACGUAGAUCAUGUAUUCUAAACAUUGUAGAUUCAAUGAAAAAAGUGGAUUUUGUUUUCUACUUUGUAGAAUGUCAAUUCUACUUUAUUUAGAACAUAAUUUGAAAUUAUGAUUUAAACAUUUCUAGAACUGAAAAAAAUACCACUAAGUUCAUAUAGGUAUUUUAUUAGUAGUUACUAUUUUUCCAUUUUUUUUUGUUUGUAAAACUAUUUAUUUAAUUUAUUUUCAGAAAUAUUAAAGGAUAUUAUAGGUAAAAAUGGUACAAAUAUGAGAUUAGUCUAAAGGGACACAGUUUCCAUUUUUUUGCUCUAAAAAACAAUUUUCCCAACAAAAUAUCACAGUAAAUUUGUGAUAUAGUAAAACGAGUUGGAAUUAUGUAAAUAUGUUCAUUACCAAAGUACGUGAAGUUAGGUUUAGACUCUUUAAGCGCAUAUAACUCUCUCUCUCUCUCUCUCUCUCUCUCUCUCUCUCUCUCUCUCUCUCUCUCUCUCUCUCUCUCUCUCUCUCUCUCUCUCUCUCUCUCUCUCUCUCUCUCUCUCUCUCUCUCUCUCUCUCUUCUCUCUCUCUCUCCUCUCUCUCUCUUCUCUCUCUCUCUCUCUCUCUCUCUCUCUCUCUUCUCUCUCUCUCUCUCUCUCUCUCUUCUCUCUCUCUCUCUCUCUCUCUCUCUGCUCUCUCUCUCUCUCUGGAAGAGAGUACUUAUUACAUAAAUGAAGUGGUCCUUACAUGCUGAUCAUUCAAUGUUGCUAAACAGAUUGUUGAUGUCAUCAAUAAAAUUGAAUAUACAAGCCUUUGUGUGUGAUAUACUCAUCAUCAUGUAGUUAAAUAAAAACCAUGUAGAUUAAUCAUCAAAAUGAUGCGCGCAGAGAAAGUAUAUUGGUGACUGAGCAGAACGGUAAAUUAGUAUAUUGUCUUGUGUACUAUAUUAUUUGAGGUAGGCCCCAAUAAUUUUACAUUGAGGUUUUAUAGAGAGAGAAAAAAAUCAUAUUUACAAAUUACACAAAGUAUUGGUACUGGUAGACCCGUUGAAUGAAGUUGAACCCUACAUGGCCUUAAAAGCCCACAAAGUCUCUCUGAAACCCUAACAGCAACACUUGGUUACAAACACCUUUGCUUUGCCAUUAAAGUCAUAGUCAUAUGCUUCAGAGAUGAAUUGGCUUUUGGUGAAGGGACCAUUAACCUCUCUCUUUCUCUGCUUCUUAAUUCCUCCUUUUCUUCGAUGCAACUCCUCCACUACUCUUUUAUCCAUGUAUCUUUCUUUUUAAGAACAAAAUAUUUUUUUUAUAUUAAAUGUAUCUAUCUAUACGUUCUCGUACAUUGCUUCUUCUUUCUUUAAUUUAAAUAUGUGUUUACUAAUUGACAUGAUAGGUUAUAUAAAUAUGCACUACAUGAAAAACAAACCCUUAACGGUAUGGAAAUUGUAAAAAAAAAAUUGAGAAUGAUCGAAAUGGUAAUUUCGUAGACACUUUUAUGUCGUAUCUUAUACGUUAUUUGAAUAAUAAGUACUAGGUAAUAAUCUGCGCCUUGCGCGGAAUGUGAUUAUUAGUUUUGUUAUUUUUAAUAAAAAAAAAACAAAUCUAUUUAAUCUGGAUAUCGGUUCGGUUUUAAGUUAUUUUUUUUGUUUUUAAUCUCCUAAAAUAUAACUAUUAUUUUAAAUUAAUAUUUAUUUUGGUUUAUUCUGUUAGAACGUUUGUUUUUUAGUUUUUUCGGUAAAAUCCAAAAAUUAUUAUUAUUUAUUUAUUUUCAUGUUAUAAAUUUUAGAUAAUCGUCAUGUUGAACCAAUGGUUUCAUAGUUUCUAAUUUAAGAAAAAAAAUUAUUAAGACAAAUCAUUUUACUAUAAUUUGGUCGGUAGUGAAAGAAACAUUAAGAAAAAAAAUGUUUCAACUUCCAAAAAAAAAUUGAUACUUCACUGGUGGUAAAUACUUACACAGUGUUCACAUCAAGGUGCACAUGCAUAUGUAUGUAAAAGUAUAUAAAAAUAAAUGAUAAAUAUAUAAAUAUAUUGUUAAUUAGUAUUAAAUAACAUUUUUGUUCUAAAUAAUACAUGAAAGAUAAAAUUAAAAUUAAUUAAAAAUUAAAAAGGCUUUGACUCUGAUAUCCGAAAUGAUUUAGAAUUUUAAAGAAUAUCUGAUUUGAUCCGUAAAUAAAAUAAAAUUUAAAAAAUAAUUGAAAAUUUUAAUAAUAACAUUUUAUUACAAAAAUAAAAUAUUAUUUAACUUUUUAAAUUUUAAUACCUAAUAUAAUAAAUUUAAUCCAUAAAAAUAUUGUAAAACUUAUAUAAACUAUAAUAUAUAUAACAUAUAUAUAUAUAUAUAAUUCUGUACAUAUAUGUAUAUAUAUGCAUAUAACAGAUCAAAUUUGAUAUCCGUUUCUAAAAAUAUUGGUAUUUGUGAUUUGUUUUUUUUAAUUGUAUUUUAGUAGUUGAUUUACUUCGUAGAGUUACGAUGUCCAUAUUUUUUGGUUCAAAUCAAAACGGAUAAUGAAUUGAAUCAAAACUUAUAAAUAUUUUGCCCAACUUUAUCCGUAAACAAUAAAAAUAAUAUAUAUAUAUAUAUAUAUAGUUUAGCUUUUGAUUCGUUAUUUGUUUUGAUUCGAACCGAAAAAUCCAAAGUUUUAUUUGAACCAUGCACAUAAGUUUUAUAUUAAAAAAAUAAAAAAGUAUAUAGUGUGAACACAUUUAUGAAUAUAGUGUGAACGCGUUAACAUAUUUAUUAUCAAAUCAUUGUGAGGCUGCCACGUGUAUAUUAUAGUGUGAAUGCAUUUAUUACAAUGCUUCUCCUUUAAUAUAUAAGGGAUAAUAAUUGCCGCAAUCAUAUAAGAUUGUAGCUCAUACCCAAAAUUGUAAACAAUAUAUGAUAUAAAUUAGAUUGUCAAUUAAAUCUAAUUAAACAUAAUAACCUAUAUAUAUAGUUACCACAGAAAAUAUCUAGAUGAUAAGCCCUAUAAAAUUGUGGUGUUGAUAUUUUUUAAACCACAUAGACAAUUAUAAUAUUAUAAUAAAAUAAUAUAAUUUAUUAUUUCUAUAUUAUAAUAACUAAUAUAUUAUAUUAUAAAAUCUUAUACUAAAAAAAAUAUAAUUUCCGACCACCAGGCCGUGAGACUUUCCCAGGUGAUGUUUUCUAUUUACAUUCUCGUCUCUUAGAAAGAGCGGCUAAACGAUCGGUUUUUAUCAUUUGUGAAUAGAAAUAGUUAAUAUUAAAUAUAAAAUAUAUUUAGUAGAUUGUUUAUAAAUUGUUACAAUUUAUGAAUGCAUAAAAUGUUUAACUAAUAAUCUAGACAUCUGUUUAAUCGUUAUAAAUCUUAGGGGUUAACACAUGUUAUGGUUGGCACGAUCCCACAUGAAUGAACUGAACUAGACUUGAAUUUUAAAACCACAAGACCUAUCAUAAACGGACCGGAUUGAAUUAGCUACUUAAUUAGCUUAUAAUCACAAGAUUCACAACACAUUUGAUAUACGAAACAAUUAUAUAUUUGCAUGAAAGCUGAAAUGAAAACAAAAUUAAAGAUUUAGAUUUUAGGGGACAAGCAUAUCUUGUACCAUUAUGACAUUGUAACUCACAAGCUAUAAUAUACAUCAAUUUAUGGUGAUAAAUAAGUAACAUAUUAAUAGCAUACAUCGGCUUCUUAACAACAAACGCAAGCAAAGUUAAAGAACAUGAGCCCACCGGUCUAUUUAAGAGUUAGAUACUCUAGAUGCUAACUCUAUAGUACAUAGGCAAUCGUUAUCAACUGAAUUUUUUUAGUUUUGUUAGACCCUAAUAUAAUGCAUACUACUUGUAGAGAAACAUUACAAGACAUAAUUUUUAUCACAACGUUUUGGAAUCCUAGAAAAAAAAUAGCGAGUUUUAAUUGUGUUUUUUUGUGGACCACCAUUUAUAUAACUACGAAUGGAGAAAGCAUCUUUUCAGAGUCUGCAUUAACGAUGUUAGAUGUAUGUGGGGAAGCUUUCUAUAGAUUGUCAUAUAUGUCUCCCAUCUCUUGUCAAUUUCAUUUUCAUUCAAACAAUACCUAUCUUGUUGACUUGAAACUUUCACGUUUUGGUCAACACCCCAGCUAUUUGCUCAUGAUUAAGCAUCACUGGAAGAACUUCCGAAACGAUUGAGAAAUAAGAGGUAAAGAAAAGAAAACGGAUCAUUCUUGUAUGUACGGAUUUUGACUUUUUGGGCUUAGGCCCAGUCAAGUCCAAUGAUUUUUUAAAAAAUGUGAUCAGAUCUAUAUUGGGCUUAGGCAUAAUGAGAUCAAAAAUUCAAAUGGUUACACUCCCACGAUGCUACUGGCAAGACAAUCUCAUAGACUAUAUUUGCGAAGUGAUUUUGCCUUAUGUCCUCUAUACAAUCAUUUUUACAAAAAAAUAAUGACAUAGUUAACAAAAUUGAUGACAUUGCUUAUAGUUAAUAUGACAUGGACAAUCACAUUUAUUAUUCACAUAUAUUUUUGGUAAACUUUAUAGAAUAUAACAAUAACUAAUGCAAUAUAUUUAAUGUUGAUUUAUAUUUUUGGUAAACUUCUUAAAAGAUGGUAAUAACUCAUAAAUCAUCAGUAAAAUAAAUAUAUUGAAAUAUGUAUUAUAAAUGUCGAAAUAUUAUUUAAUUUUUUUUAUAAUUAUACAAUUUUUAUUACUAAUAUUUUUAAAAUUUUCUACAUCUAUUUUAAAAAAAUUAAUAAAUUGUUAAUCGUAAUUUCAUUAGUUUCUUUUAGAUAUCUACAAAUUUUAUAAAUAUUGUUUAGUUAUAAUUUUUAAAUAACUAUACAAUUUUUAUAUGAUUUUUUAGUAAUUUUAUACAAGUUGAUAUAAUAUAUUUAACCAAAAUAAAUAGAUAAAAAAUUAUCUAAGAUUCGAAUUUUAAAUAUAUUACAUAUAUAUUAUUAAAUGUACUUUAAAAGAAACAAAAUUAUUUUUUUUCUUAAUUUUAUUAUUAAAUAAUCAACUUUAUAUUAAUAUUAGUCAAAAAUAAUAAAAUAUAUAAUAUUAAUAAAUUUUAUUUUUAAUAUAAUUUAAUUUUUUAAAAAUUUAUCACUGCACAUGGUGCAAGAAAACACCUAAUAACACUAAAAGAGGUUUGUGAUGCACUGAUGGUGGUUGCUAGGACUAGAAGAAGAGUUAAGAACAUAAGGAGAAGAUGAACAACAAGAGUAGACAUGGUGGAAGAUUGCUAUAGUUACAAAAGUCAACUAUUUUUUUCAGUCUUUAUGUUGUCAAAAGGUGAUUAUGGUUUCUGUUGUGUACAAAAGCUUGCAUAAUAUAUACAAAAAACAGAGUAGUUAUUUUAUUUUGUGUUGACACCAAAACAUAGUUAAUAUAUUUGUUUACUCACAGCAAAAACAAGCAGUACGUGCUAACAAGCAAACUCUCCUAAAAUAUUUGAAAUGUUAAGUGAACUAUAAUCAUAGAAAGAAAAAGAAGAGUUGGAAAGAUUCGAAACAGAGAACUGUUUUAUUAAAAAUAGGAAAACGUUGGAGGC